AAGGCUAUCCUUUCAAAGAUUAUGUUUAUAGUUCGUUAUUAGAGAAGCAUGUUUGAACGUGUAGAGCGCCGAUAAACCUACGAUGUGAAAAGAACAUGUUUUUUUUUUUUUCUGAAUGUGAAGCCAGCGUUUGGUGCUGCUUCAGUGCAACCGUCAUCCGCCAUUGAUGGUCGUUUUUCUUUCCGUUUUGGAGAGUGGGCGGAAAGAACACGGUGUGAGUGGU
rnacentral:snoRNA from 1 species